AUUUUCCGGUUGAUCCUGCCGGGCCCGACUGCUAUCAGAGUGGGGCUAAGCCAUGCGAGUCAACGCCGCAAGGCGUGGCAUACGGCUCAGUAACACGUAGUCAACAUACCCAGGGGACGUGGAUAACCUCGGGAAACUGAGGAUAAACCGCGAUAGGCCAAGAUUUCUGGAAUGGAUCAUGGCUGAAACCUAUACGGCCUCUGGAUUGGACUGCGGCCGAUCAGGCUGUUGGUGAGGUAAUGGCCCACCAAACCUAUAACCGGUACGGGCUUUGAGAGAAGGAGCCCGGAGAUGGGCACUGAGACAAGGGCCCAGGUCCUAUGGGGCGCAGCAGGCGCGAAACCUCUGCAAUAGGCGAAAGCUUGACAGGGUUACUCUGAGUGAUGUCCGUUAAGGGCAUCUUUUGGCACCUCUAAAAAUGGUGCAGAAUAAGGGGUGGGCAAGUCUGGUGUCAGCCGCCGCGGUAAUACCAGCACCCCGAGUGGUCGGGACGAUUAUUGGGCCUAAAGCAUCCGUAGCUUGUUCUGCAAGUCCUCCGUUAAAUCCACCUGCUCAACAGAUGGGCUGCGGAGGAUACUACAGGGCUAGGAGGCGGGAGAGGCAAACGGUACUCAGUGGGUAGGGGUAAAAUCCACUGAUCCACUGAAGACCACCAGUGGCGAAGGCGGUUUGCCAGAACGCGCUCGACGGUGAGGGAUGAAAGCUGGGGGAGCAAACCGGAUUAGAUACCCGGGUAGUCCCAGCUGUAAACGAUGCAGCUCGGUGGAUGGGUUGGCUUCGGGGCCAACCCAGUGCCGCAGGGAAGCCGUUAAGUCUGCCGCCUGGGGAGUACGGUCGCAAGACUGAAACUUAAAGGAAUUGGCGGGGGAGCACCACAAGGGUGAAGCCUGCGGUUCAAUUGGAGUCAACGCCGGACUUCCGGUUGAUCCUGCCGGACUUCCGUUGAUCCUGCCGAUGAGUCACGCGGAUGAGUCACGCGACUUCGGUGAUCUGCGGAUGGAGUCACGCGGAUGAGUCACGCCGGAUGGAGUCACGCCGAAUG
rnacentral:rRNA from 1 species